rnacentral:rRNA from 1 species
UACGUAGGGGGGCUAGCGUUGUCCGGAUUUAUUGGGCGUAAAGAGCGUGUAGGCGGCCAUGUAGGUCCGGUGUGAAAACUCGAGGCUUAACCUCGAGAUGUCAUCGGAAACCAUUUGGCUAGAGUCCGGAAGAGGAGAGUGGAAUUCCUGGUGUAGCGGUGAAAAUGCGCAGAUAUCAGGAAGAACACCAAUGGCGAAAGCAGCUCUCUGGGACGGUACUGACGCUGAGACGCGAAAGCGUGGGGAGCGAACAGG